GACGAACGCUGGCGGCGUGCUUAACACAUGCAAGUCGAACGGAAAGGCCCUGCUUUUGUGGGGUGCUCGAGUGGCGAACGGGUGAGUAACACGUGAGUAACCUGCCCUUGACUUUGGGAUAACUUCAGGAAACUGGGGCUAAUACAGGAUAGGAGCUCCUGCUGCAUGGUGGGGGUUGGAAAGUUUCGGCGGUUGGGGAUGGACUCGCGGCUUAUCAGCUUGUUGGUGGGGUAGUGGCUUACCAAGGCUUUGACGGGUAGCCGGCCUGAGAGGGUGACCGGCCACAUGGGGACUGAGAGACGGCCCAGACUCCUACGGGAGGCAGCAGGGGGGAAUAUUGCACAAUGGGCGGAAGCCUGAUGCAGCAACGCCGCGUGCGGGAUGACGGCCUUCGGGUGGUAAACCGCUUUCGCCUGUGACGAAGCGUGAGUGACGGUAAUGGGUAAAGAAGCACCGGCUAACUACGUG
rnacentral:rRNA from 1 species